CCAGGCUUGAACUGCGAGUGACCACGCCCGAAAGGGCGCUUCCGCAAGGACACUCGUAGAGGUGCUGCAUGGCUGUCGUCAGCUCGUGUCGUGAGAUGUUGGGUUAAGUCCCGCAACGAGCGCAACCCUUGUCCUCUGUUGCCAUCACGUUAUGGUGGGCACUCUGAGGAGACUGCCGGUGAUAAACCGGAGGAAGGUGGGGAUGACGUCAAGUCAGCAUGGCCUUUAUGUCUGGGGCUACACACGUGCUACAAUGGCCGGUAUAAAGCAUCGCAAACUCGCGAGGGGGAGCUAAUCACAGAAAGCCGGUCUCAGUUCGGAUUGUAGGCUGCAACUCGCCUGCAUGAAGUCGGAAUCGCUAGUAAUCGCGGAUCAGCAUGCCGCGGUGAAUA
rnacentral:rRNA from 1 species